GCCCACCUUGAGAAACCUGUACUCCAGCCUGAGCGCCUUUCCUCAUACUUUCGCUUUGUUGGCAGAUAUUUCUCUGCCUUGCAUUAAUUUCCGAGCUACCGCUGUACCUCAAGACCUUGUCACCCUCUGGUACUCUUAAUCAGGAUCUACCCACAGUGUGGCUUCCUUUCCUCAUCCAGCCUGGCUCGCUUGGAUAUCUCCUUGUCCACCUAACUGGAAGGCUUCUCAUCCCAGGAGCUCUGCUCUGCUCUCUGCUUGGUGUGAAGUACUGUCUGCCUCUCACUCUACCCCUGGAAAGAAGUGGCCAUAUCACCCUUGAAGAAUACUGGACAGCAUUUUAGGAGAAAAAGAUUAUUGUGUCACAGCAACCAGAAAAUAAGUGGGUAGUGAGAGUGAUCAAGGCUCAUCUGGAUAUUAAGGCUGUUGUUGUCAGUGACCUACAGCAACCUGCUCAUGUCUGCAAUUUUUCAACAGUUGACCUUGUCAUCCACAAGCAGCCUUGUCUCCCUCAUAUCUGACUUGUUCCUCUUCACUUCUGGGCAACACAGUCUCCAGGUAACCCUGCCAUUUCCAGGACGAG
ensembl:lncRNA